rnacentral:piRNA from 1 species
UCUAGUAGACUGGCUCUUGAUGGUUUGU